UUCUCUCCUUGACCAAAUUACUUAGCUCUUUUGAACUUUAUUCUGAGAGGUCAAUAUCUAAUCAAGUCUCUCAUCUUCCAACAUCUUCCAGCUGAUAUCUGAUCACCUCAGCUUGCUUUCAGCAAGAAUCCUAUUAGCAAAAGACUUGAAACAGCAAAUGUCCACCAGCAGGGACUGGUUGAAUAACCUACAACAAUGGGGACUUGGAGGCUGCAAAAAGAACUAGGAACAUCUCGACACAUUACCGCAGAGAGAUCCCCAGGGUGGGUUGUUCCAUGAAUAAUGCAAGAUCAGUCUCUUGUGAAUUUGGUGACCGUGAAUUAGUUUCUUUAAGUUUGGUCAAUAUUGAUUUUGCAGAUUAAAAAAACAAAAUUAAGCUUCUGCAACCAAAUGCUCUGCCACUACCAAACUGAGUUUCUGGAUCCACAAAGAGAGACAGCAUGAAGCAUGAGCACAAGUGCACUGCUACACAUGCUGGAGGAGGGGCAGAGGGGGAGAGGGCGAGAGUCUCAAGCCGAUUCUGCACUGAGCAUGGAGCCAGAUGUGGAGCUCAACUCCAUGACCUUGAGAUCAUGACUUGAGCCGAAACCAAGAGUUGGAUGCUUAACUGUCACCCAAGUGCCCCACUUAUAUAACAUUUUAAAUUUCUACACCUAUUUAAUUUUAAGAAACUACAAUGUGAUUUCAAGAAUAAAUCUAUUAAUAUCUAAAAGAUUCAAUUUUAGAAGUUUUUCAGGAAGCAAAAAGACAAACACUACAAAAGACUAUACUAAUUUCAACAGUGACAAAGUUAAUAAUAUCAAGAUAAUGCUAAUGUUUGUGGUAAUGUAAGAUACCUUAUUGUGCAUAAUUCCAUCUUCAGUUUCUUCUCCCCAAGGCUGUCCAUCAUCAAACAAAGGUGAGCUUUCU